rnacentral:rRNA from 1 species
AGUCGAACGAUGAACCUCCUUCGGGAGGGGAUUAGUGGCGAACGGGUGAGUAACACGUGGGCAAUCUGCCCUGCACUCUGGGACAAGCCCUGGAAACGGGGUCUAAUACCGGAUACUGAUCAUCUUGGGCAUCCUUGGUGAUCGAAAGCUCCGGCGGUGCAGGAUGAGCCCGCGGCCUAUCAGCUUGUUGGUGAGGUAAUGGCUCACCAAGGCGACGACGGGUAGCCGGCCUGAGAGGGCGACCGGCCACACUGGGACUGAGACACGGCCCAGACUCCUACGGGAGGCAGCAGUGGGGAAUAUUGCACAAUGGGCGCAAGCCUGAUGCAGCGACGCCGCGUGAGGGAUGACGGCCUUCGGGUUGUAAACCUCUUUCAGCAGGGAAGAAGCGAAAGUGACGGUACCUGCAGAAGAAGCGCCGGCUAACUACGUGCCAGCAGCCGCGGUAAUACGUAGGGCGCGAGCGUUGUCCGGAAUUAUUGGGCGUAAAGAGCUCGUAGGCGGCUUGUCACGUCGGUUGUGAAAGCCCGGGGCUUAACCCCGGGUCUGCAGUCGAUACGGGCAGGCUAGAGUUCGGUAGGGGAGAUCGGAAUUCCUGGUGUAGCGGUGAAAUGCGCAGAUAUCAGGAGGAACACCGGUGGCGAAGGCGGAUCUCUGGGCCGAUACUGACGCUGAGGAGCGAAAGCGUGGGGAGCGAACAGGAUUAGAUACCCUGGUAGUCCACGCCGUAAACGGUGGGCACUAGGUGUGGGCGACAUUCCACGUCGUCCGUGCCGCAGCUAACGCAUUAAGUGCCCCGCCUGGGGAGUACGGCCGCAAGGCUAAAACUCAAAGGAAUUGACGGGGGGCCCGCACAAGCGGCGGAGCAUGUGGCUUAAUUUCGACGCAACGCGAAGAA